rnacentral:tRNA from 2 species
GGUCUUAUAUUCAAAAAUGAUUUUAAAUUGCAAAUUUAAAGGUGAGGGUUCUCUAAGGCUU